rnacentral:rRNA from 1 species
UACGUGGGGGGCAAGCGUUGUUCGGAAUUACUGGGCGUAAAGGGCUCGUAGGCGGCCAACUAAGUCAGACGUGAAAUCCCUCGGCUUAACCGGGGAACUGCGUCCGAUACUGGAUGGCUUGAGUUUGGGAGAGGGAUGCGGAAUUCCAGGUGUAGCGGUGAAAUGCGUAGAUAUCUGGAGGAACACCGGUGGCGAAGGCGGCAUCCUGGACCAACACUGACGCUGAGGAGCGAAGGCCAGGGGAGCAAACGGG